rnacentral:sRNA from 1 species
UCCUUACGACUAACUACACAACUAACUA